GAAAUUGUAUUUAAGACGGACGGAUAACCUUAUCUGCCUAUAUCCAUCAUCAUCUACAAAUAAAGAUAACGCAAAUUCCUUUCCUCCAACGGCCCAGUAGAUCAGGCCUAGAUUUGUUAUAGUGAUGGACUCUUACCACCUUGCCAUUGCUGAUCUGCUACCAGUGAGCACAGCGCUGACCUUUGCACCCACUCAGCUUUACAGUAGCUGUACAGACAGUGGUAGUGUCUAUCCCAGCAGGCUUGCUGGAAGAUGCCUUGAGUUUCAGAUUGACAGCAUUUCUUCCUGCCACGGCAUCUUUGCUCACGCAGACAACAUCAUCCCCUGCUG